GAAGCGGAAAACCCCCCACAAAACAUCCCCCCUUCUCUCUCGCUCUGACUCGCUUCACGAGAAGUCUUCUCCUCGGGUAAUACUUCUUUUUUCGUAAUCAUUAUUCCUCGUGAACGUCGAUGCUUAUAUAUUAUUUUGGUUUGAUCCAGUUUUUCGUCUGUUUUUCUUGUGUUUUCUGGGUAAAAGAAGGUGUUUUUUUGAGUUGUUUUUGGCACAGGAUAGGAUCUGCCCUUGCAUGUAUUCGUCUCGAACUCGUCGACGAAGCAGUGAAAUUAUUAUCAUCUCUCGUUUUGUUGUUGAUACAGAUUAUAACUUUUUGUUGAUUUGUGCACGUUUGUGCUGUGAUUGUGAAUCGAUUGAGUUGGAUUAUAUCUUCGAUUUUUGUGCGGGCGUCAAUUAUUAGGAUUUCAGAGAACUAAUAUAUAUAUUUGUUAUGUUGUUUAGUGCAAGUUUAAUGCCUAUCGUACACUACAUUGGAUCGCGAAAAUUAUUUUCCUUUCUAGAUUUACAAGAGAAAAUUCUACAUUUUCUAGUAAAGCGAAGUGAUAGAUUAUAUUCUUAAACAAAAAAGAAAAAAAAAACCCUUUUUUCCAGCUGUGACUUUGCGAGUUGUUAUUCUUUUAUGAUUUUGUUUGUUUUGUGAUGAUAUUUGUUGUAAGAAUGACUGCUUGCUUUGUAAGAUAAAUAUAAGUGCUUCGAUCCAUCUUGAAGAUCUAAAAAUCACUGAGAUAUUCAAUUAGGAAAAUUCUGAUUUUGUUUUAGGUGGUGAUAUAUCAUAUCCACUCUCUUUCUUUGUCUCGCCGUUUUAGCUUCUCUAAAACAAAAAAAAAAAAAAUUUGAUCUUACACGGGAGAUCUUGAACCAAGAAAAUGCAUGGCACACUAUUUCUUCCGCUUUCAUGUCAUGUUCAGAGUUAUUGCAUCCAGCUCGAAACUUGUAAGCAUCUGUGCUUUGCCCAUCUAAUACUGAAUAAGAAAGUUGACACACUAAUCUGGUUUUUUUAUCCGUGCUACCUAAAGAGAAUAGUUUUUACCUUCGUUUAUUUGUCUUUAAUGUGCUUAAUGUAGGUGGGUCUAGAAAUUUUUUGGAUUAGAUUUGUAUAAAAGAUUUUUAGGCAUAUUUCGUAUGAAAACCUGUUAUCUGAAGUAUAGUCCUCUGAUAACAAAAUAGUCAAAUUCAAGAGCUUUGCAAGUUCAAAUGUAUAUUUCACGAUAGCCGACCAUCCUUUCAAGUUGUUUGUGGGAUUCAGAAAUGGUGGAACAGAAGAGCUCCAUCUGGUCACUUUGUUACUUUCGAUAAAACAGCUAGUGGUUACUAAAAUUUUGUGUUCAAUCAGUCUCAUGAUCUUUCCAUGUACAUAUUAUUUGUUUCUGACUUCAUUUGUGGUCAAUUGGUUUUUAUUCUUAUUUCCUGUUGUACUUUGUCUCGCUGGCUUUCCCACUUCUUUGUAUUCCAUUCAUACUGAUGGUCUUGGUAUCCAGCAAGCAGGUAACUUGUCAUUAUUAUUGACUCAAUAAUAGUUCUUUCUUGCUUGAUUGAUAUGUUGGAACCCAAAGUGGGAAACCUAAUUUCCCUUUAGUCCAACAUUAGUUAUUGAGCACUACUCUCCCCGGUGUAUUAACCAAACCACAUAGGGAUAUGGCGGAAGAAAAAAGUUAAUUUUAUUUUUCUGAAAUUUAAAUUUAUUUCUUGUUGGUGCAUGGAUCGUCUUCAACAUCCCCACAUUCAUGCAUGCAACCGAACGACUCCCGGUCGUAUCUUGUGGCGGAUUUCUCGAUUUCAACCCUCACGAGGGUUCAGAAAUAGCCUUAGGACAGUGUAUAAUGUGCUUCUGAGUUUAAUUCGUAAACUUCCUUUUAGUCCUUUUAUUUUAAUUAUGUUAGAUUAUUAUUUCUGCUCUAACAUGAUAUAGUUGAAUGCCACUGUUUGCAAUAGUGAGCUUCCACAUUCCCACCUUGUAACAAAUUCCUGAUAGUAAGACAUUAAGGUAUUGUCAACAGAUGCAUUUAUUGUGAAUUUACCUAUCUAUUCCUGCAGUUUCUUAAGUGGAUAUGAACGUAUUAGCUAAUAGCAAACUUUAGUGGCCAAGCUUUUUGUAAAUGCAAGCUAUACUUCCACAAAGUGAUAUUUGAAUGGAACUAUUUCCAAAGUGAUUAUAUGCUGGCAUAUGUUUGACUUAAUUAAGAUUCUUCUGCUAAAAGUUAACCAGCUAAAUGUCUGUUAGGUGCAAUUGAAGUUCUAAUAUGGCUAAUUAUAAGUGAACUUAAUUUCACCAGAUCUGGAAGUUAGUAGCCUACUGAACUGCAAAUCUUCCAAUUUGGUUUAACUAACCUUUUGCUGCAGACCGUUUUAUACUUUUUUUUUCCAAAUAUGUAUAAUGUCAUCUGCUUUCAUGCAACCACAUCUUAUGUUCUUUUUGUAUUUUUCUCUAAUCCAUGAUUUGUUUAGUUUCCAUUAGAUUUUCUGUCUUAAUUGGCCAAUUGGUAUUAUUUAAUUUAAGUUUCUUCCCCUUCUGCUUCAUGAAUUGUUCAUUUAUCAUUAUGCAGAAAUCUUGGACACUGAAUUUGCAGAAAAUGGGAUUGACCAGCAGAAAUCGAUCUUUUCAACAAACAAAGGAGGAUUCACCUGGAACAAAGUCAGCACCAAAGACUAGUAAUACACAUAAUCAGUCAAAAAAUCAUUUGAGAGUCAAGGAGGCAGCCUUGGAUCAAGCUCAUCAAAACAAUAGCAGAGCUCGAUCUUCUCAAAAAAUGACCAGUCUCACCAAUAA
rnacentral:lncRNA from 1 species